GACCCGCUGCGCUGUGCGUUAGGCUUUCAAACCCCGGGGCUGAAUACUUCCAGGGAGCUGUCCCUGUCCGGCCCGUGGGCCGGUUACACGGCACCCACCUGCACAUGCAGGCCACGGAGGUUUUUCGAAGCCAACGGCAGUGCGGCGGUACC
rnacentral:other from 1 species